GAUGAACGCUGGCGGCGUGCCUAAUACAUGCAAGUCGAGCGAACGGACGAGAAGCUUGCUUCUCUGAUGUUAGCGGCGGACGGGUGAGUAACACGUGGAUAACCUACCUAUAAGACUGGGAUAACUUCGGGAAACCGGAGCUAAUACCGGAUGAUAUUUUGAACCGCAUGGUUCAAAAGUGAAAGACGGUCUUGCUGUCACUUAUAGAUGGAUCCGCGCUGCAUUAGCUAGUUGGUAAGGUAACGGCUUACCAAGGCAACGAUGCAUAGCCGAACUGAGAGGGUGAUCGGCCACACUGGAGCGGAGACGCGGUCCAGACUCCUGCGGGAGGCAGCAGUAGGGAAUCUUACGCAAUGGGCGAAAGCCUGACGGAGCAACGCCGCGUGAGUGAUGAAGGUCUUCGGAUCGUAAAACUCUGUUAUUAGGGAAGAACAUAUGUGUAAGUAACUGUGCACAUCUUGACGGUACCUAAUCAGAAAGCCACGGCUAACUACGUG
rnacentral:rRNA from 1 species